GAUGAACGCUGGCGGCAUGCCUAAUACAUGCAAGUCGAACGAGAGGAAGGAAAGCUUGCUUUUCUGAAUCUAGUGGCGAACGGGUGAGUAACACGUAGGUAACCUGCCCAUGUGCCCGGGAUAACUUCUGGAAACGGAUGCUAAAACCGGAUAGGUAGCAGACAAGCAUUUGACUGCUAUUAAAGUGGCUAAGGCCAUGAACAUGGAUGGACCUGCGGUGCAUUAGCUAGUUGGUGAGGUAACGGCCCACCAAGGCGACGAUGCAUAGCCGGCCUGGGAGGACGGACGGCCACAUUGCGACUGAGACACGGACCAAACUCCUAGGGGAGGCAGCAGUAGGGAAUUUUCGUCGAUGGGGGGAACCCUGAAAGAGCAAUGCCGCGUGAGUGAGGAAGGUCUUCGGAUCGUAAAGCUCUGUUGUCAGAGAAAAACGACAUUCAUAGGGAAUGAUGAGUGAGUGAUGGUAUCUUACCAGAAAGUCACGGCUAACUACGUGCCAGCCGCCGCCGUAACAC
rnacentral:rRNA from 1 species